UUUUUUUUUGUCAAAACAACAAAUUAGGUGUGGUACACCUUUGUCACAAUCCAAACAUACCCCAAGACUCCUCAAAGGUGUUCAUCUGGUCGAUCGGUGGCAGCAACACUCUGAGUGAUUAUUGUGGUCCAUGUGGCAAGACAAACUGUUAAGCCGGAUCUAGUAAAAGCUAACUCGAAUGACAGAUAUUAGCUAAAACAUGAUUACGUGCAUUCGAAAACAAAAUCUGGCACACAGAAGAUACAAAUUUUCCCAAAAGAGCAUACAGUUUGCUGAUCCUCAGAUGUUAAAACUCCUAGGAAACCUACAUGAGAGUACUAGUUUGGUGAACAGAGAAACAGAGCUACCAAUCCCGCAACUGCAACAUUCAAGUUUCAAGAUGACAUGACCAAAAACUGCUCUGCGAUCCC
rnacentral:lncRNA from 1 species